UCGCAGGGGGAGGAGGAGGAGGACUCAGCUGUAAUGAGGGCCGUCUUGGCAGUGAUAUCAGUGCUACAUGUAUUUGGGCGUAUCCACAAUACCAAAGGGGAAGACUGGAGAGCGACACACAGGCACGGACAAAAGAAGCGGCUACACACUGGAGCGCUGGGGAGUCUCCGGACGGCAACCUGCUCUUUUCACACGAGGGCUGAGUCGGACCUUACACUGACUUUGAACUCGGGUGACGGCGGGGUCGAGUCCUUUUAACGCCCGGGUCGAUGGACUUCACACACACAGCACCUCCAAGUCAAGGUUGUUCACGUAGACGAGGAUCUCCGUUGAGCCGGGACUCUGGCUGGGGGCGAAUCUUAGCCCGAUGGAGUAGCUCUCUCCCCCGCCGAUCUGAACACAGCGAACACAACAAACAGUGCUUCAUAUUCAUCUGAGCUCCCUGGGGGUGAGCUGAUGAUGCGUUCUUUCUCUUCAGCUCGUGACACUGAACUGAUUUAACCAUGUCCACAUACAAGGGCUCCCUUUAUUCUCCUUCUUUGCAUAUAAUCAGUAGUGUCAACAUUAAGGUGAAUGUUUGAGAAUUGCAGGACUUGGUUUUAAUUUGAUUUUUGGGGUAACCAUUUAGUUUAAAAUCAGUUUUAUCUGUUUAAGUAUUAUUCAUCUAAAAAAACAUAAUGUUUACAUUAUUUAUUGUUAUUAGUUAUAAUGUAUGAUUACAGAAUGAUGCUGAAAAACAUGCGUUCUUAACUCCCCCUCUUAUGAUCCUGAAUGUGUUAUUUUGAACUGUGUGAUGUCAGCCAUCCUCGUUUUCCUCAGACAAAAUGGCACAAUGUUUAUUGUGAGACAGUGUAAAUGCCUUAGUCGUCAUUAUUCAACAGCCAUUAAAGUGUGAAAUCAACAGUGACUUCAUGAUGAUGCGUUAAAUCUUCAGAUUCCUUCAAUGGCGUGUGUUUUAAUCAGCAUGUACAGAGGUAGAGAAGAAGAGAGGUGAAUACAUGAAAAAGUCAAAAGGGAAGGAAGGAUAUCGCCAUCGAUACAAUAAAUAAAACUCAGGUUACGUAUCUCUUCAUUUGGGAUGUGAGGGUAUAAAAAUGUAUCGAGCAUCGUGAUAAAAACUCACAGUAACUUGAUUGUGGCAUAAUCAUGACUAAUCUCACAUGACUUACUUAAAAUAGCGUGAUAAGCUAGCUAGCACAAUAACAUAGAACACUUCUUUGCAGUGUGUUUUGAACUGCCAUGAGGAGGGAGCCUGCAUCUUUCGGACUGGCUUUGAAGACUUAAAAAUCUUAAGCCUGUCCACAAAGAUGAAGGCUCGGCUUGCACGUAGUAUCCCCCUCAAAAACAGUUAAAUUGUUGCUUCCUCUUAUUUUGAAAGGACUCUGUAUGCACGAGGAAAAAACAAAAAGAAUAUGAUGGUAGAAACAGAGUAAAUGGUGCAGGAAGCUAACAGUACACAUGAGGAAGGAAAACGAUGAUAAAGGAUAAACGGGGAGUGCAAGAUAAAGAGUUUCACUUCAGUCAAGUGUAGCAACAAAGUAUGUUACGUGUCCAACUGUUUUGAGAAUUUAUUUAGCCAAUUUUUAGUAUAUACAGGGUGUCUGUUGUUUACUUUCUGCUCAGCUCUUACAUUGGAUUAUUGCUUAGAAGGAACUGAUUAAAAGUCUUGGCUAACUUUUGACGGGGGUAGUCUCAAACUGGGAAGUCAUGACGUGAGCAAACAGCUUGUUGAUAGUUUGCAUUCUUCAUCCUUCUAACCUCUUGAACUCAUUCUCUUUGUUUUUCUCCCGAAUUACCACCCCUCCAUCCAAAGUGCAAUGUUGAUGAUUCUUUUGAAAUAAAGGCACACGCUGCGUAAA